rnacentral:tRNA from 1 species
GGCCCCGUAGCUCAGCGGAUAGAGCAGCAGCCUUCUAAGCUGUUGGUCCCAGGUUCGAUUCCUGGCGGGGUCGCCA